rnacentral:rRNA from 1 species
AGCAACCGCGGUAACUCCAGCUCCAAUAGCGUAUAUUAAAGUUGUUGCGGUUAAAAAGCUCGUAGUUGAAUUUCGGGAUUGACACAUCGGUCGUGCCUUAAGGGGUAUGAACUGGUGUAGUCAAUUUCUCACCUUCUGGAGAACCGCGAUGCCCUUAAUUGGGUGUCGCGGGGAACCAGGACCUUUACUUUGAAAAAAUUAGAGUGUUUAAAGCAGGCAUUUUGCUUGAAUACAUUAGCAUGGAAUAAUAAAAUAGGACGGCAUGACUCUAUUUUGUUGGUUUCUAGGAUCACCGUAAUGAUUAAUAGGGAUAGUUGGGGGCAUUAGUAUUCAAUUGUCAGAGGUGAAAUUCUUGGAUUUAUUGAAGACUAACUACUGCGAAAGCAUUUGCCAAGGAUGUUUUCAUUAAUCAAGAACGAAAGUUAAGGGGAUCGAAGACGAUCAGAUACCGUCGUAGUCUUAACCAUAACUAUNCCGACUAGGAAUCAGACGAUGUUAAUUUUUAAUUGACUCGUUUUGG